CCCUGUGUGGCUCAGUUGGGAGCGCUUGGCACUUGCAACGCUAGGGUUGUGGGUUCAAUUCCCACAGGGG
rfam:Salmo salar isolate Sally breed double haploid chromosome ssa27, whole genome shotgun sequence.